UACGGAGGGAGCUAGCGUUAUUCGGAAUUACUGGGCGUAAAGCGCACGUAGGCGGCUUUGUAAGUAAGAGGUGAAAGCCUGGAGCUCAACUCCAGAACUGCCUUUGAUACUGGGAAGCUCGAGUCCGGGAGAGGUGAGUGGAACUCCGAGUGUAGAGGUGAAAUUCGUAGAUAUUCGGAAGAACACCAGUGGCGAAGGCGGCUCACUGGCCCGGUACUGACGCUGAGGUGCGAAAGCGUGGGGAGCAAACAGG
rnacentral:rRNA from 1 species